rnacentral:rRNA from 1 species
AUUGAACGCUGGCGGCAGGCUUAACACAUGCAAGUCGAACGAGUGGCGGACGGGUUAGUAAUGCUUGGGAAUCUAGCUUAUGGAGGGGGAUAACUACGGGAAACUGUAGCUAAUACCGCGUACCAUAGGAUUAGCCCAUGUGGGAGGAGGUCGUUGGUGAGGUAAAGGCUCACCAAGCCGACGAUCUCUAGCUGGUCUGAGAGGGUGACUCGCCACUCUGGGACUGUGACCCGGCCCAGACUCCUACGGAAGCCAGCAUUGGGGAAUAUGGCGCAAUGGGGGCAACCUGACGCAGCCAUGCCGCGUGAAUGAAGAAGGCCUUCGGGUUGUAAGGUUCUUUCGGUAGCGAGGCGUUACCUACAGAAGAAGCACCGGCUAACUCCGUGCCAGCAGCCGCGGUAAUUC